rnacentral:rRNA from 1 species
CAGCCGCCGCGGUAAUACCAGCCCCGCGAGUGGUCGGGACGGUUAUUGGGCCUAAAGCGCCCGUAGCCGGCCCGGCAAGUCCCUCCUUAAAGCCUCGGGCCCAACCCGAGGACGGGGGGGAUACUGCCGGGCUAGGGGGCGGGAGAGGCCGGCGGUACUCCCGGGGUAGGGGCGAAAUCCGUUAAUCCCGGGAGGACCACCAGUGGCGAAGGCGGCCGGCUGGAACGCGCCCGACGGUGAGGGGCGAAAGCCGGGGGAGCGAACCGGAUUAGAUACCCGGGUAGUCCCGGCGGUAAACGAUGCGGGCUAGCUGUUGGGUGGGCUUAGAGCCCACCCAGUGGCGCAGGGAAGCCGUUAAGCCCGCCGCCUGGGGAGUACGGCCGCAAGGCUGAAACUUAAAGGAAUUGGCGGG